rnacentral:rRNA from 1 species
GACGAACGCUGGCGGCGUGCUUAACACAUGCAAGUCGAACGGAAAGGCCCUGCUUUUGUGGGGUGCUCGAGUGGCGAACGGGUGAGUAACACGUGAGUAACCUGCCCUUGACUUUGGGAUAACUUCAGGAAACUGGGGCUAAUACCGGAUAGGAGCUCCUGCUGCAUGGUGGGGGUUGGAAAGUUUCGGCGGUUGGGGAUGGACUCGCGGCGUAUCAGCUUGUUGGUGGGGUAGUGGCUUACCAAGGCUUUGACGGGUAGCCGGCCUGAGAGGGUGACCGGCCACAUUGGGACUGAGAUAAGGCCCAGACUCCUACGGGAGGCAGCAGUGGGGAAUAUUGCACAAUGGGCGGAAGCCUGAUGCAGCAACGCCGCGUGCGGGAUGACGGCCUUCGGGCUGUAAGCCGCUUUCGCCUGUGACGAAGCGUGAGUGAGGGUAAUGGGUAAAGAAGCACCGGCUAACUACGUG